rnacentral:rRNA from 1 species
CCUACGGGAGGCAGCAGUGAGGAAUAUUGGACAAUGGGCGAGAGCCUGAACCAGCCAAGCCGCGUGAGGGAGGACGGCCCUCUGGGUGGUAAACUCCUUUUGCCGGGGCGAAAAAGACGGAGGUGUCCGGCUGUGAGACUACCCGUAGCAAAAGCAUCGACUAACUCCGUGUCAGCAGCCGCGGUAAGCCGGAGGAUGCGAGUGUUAUCCGGAUGUGAUGGGUUUGAAGGGUGCGACGGGGGAUUGUAAAGUCAGCGGGAAAAGCGUGGGGCUAAACCCCCGAUCGCCGUUGAAACUGGGGAUCUAGAGUGUGCGAGAGGUAUGCGGAAUGCGUGGUGUAGCGGUGAAAUGCGUAGAUAUCACGCAGAACCCCGGUUGCGAAGGCAGCAUACCGGUGCGCAACUGACGCUCAGGCACGAAAGCGUGGGUAGCGAACAGGAUUAGAUACCCGAGUAGUC